UACGUAGGGUGCGAGCGUUGUCCGGAAUUAUUGGGCGUAAAGGGCUCGUAGGCGGUUUGUCGCGUCGGGAGUGAAAACCUCGGGCUUAACUCGGGGCUUGCUUUCGAUACGGGCAGACUGGAGGUAUGCAGGGGAGAACGGAAUUCCUGGUGUAGCGGUGAAAUGCGCAGAUAUCAGGAAGAACACCCGUGGCGAAGGCGGCUCUCUGGAACGCAACUGACGCUGAGACGCGAAAGCGUGGGGAGCAAACAGG
rnacentral:rRNA from 1 species